rnacentral:lncRNA from 1 species
CAGAGUAACCGUGUAUUGACUUCCAACAUUCCACAUUUCCAAAGGUGUUUCCUGUGAUCUCUGGGAUCCUGAUCCGCACCACUCAACUUUGGCCUCCUAAACUUCAUCCUUGACCCCACCCCAGGUAGGAAGGAUGUGUGGAUAUUUCUUUUAUCUUUCUGCAACGAUGACCUUUUGGAGAAAAAGAAAGGAAGCAGGACCUCUUGACCAGAAUUUAUCCAGCACUCCAGCACGGCUUGCACGUUAUCUGGAGUAAAGAGACCUUCUGGGAUUUCAUCAGCCUCCUGUCCAUCAAGAGAGCCACAGCUAAGAACCUAGAAGGGUAGAAGCAAAAGAUUUUUUUCCUCCUGUAUAAUCCCAAUCCACUACUUAGUUCUUCCAGUUUUUGACUGACUGAAUUUUCAGUGAACUGUGUGUCUAACUGAAGCUUUGAGAGAGAGAGAGAGAGAAAGAAGGAAAAAAAGAAAAGGUUUUACUUCACUUGAACUUGUUAAAAAGGAAGAGACACAGAUCCAGCAUAGUAGAAGGAGAAAGAAAGCAGACAACAGUUUGGAAUGGAGGCAUUGAGACGGAAGAGUCCAUUGGAGAUGGAAUGUACACACAAAAAUAACAAUUUAGGUCCUUUGCUCAUGCAACAUCUUGUUCUAAUGUCCUCUGCUCCAGGUCACAACAUUGAGCUACAAAGUGUGUGCAGUGACUCCAGUCUGCAUUCAUGCUACAAGAUGAUCCGUUUAGUAAGACUGAGCAAGGCUUGUUAACCUCUUGGACGUGAGAGAUUUCCCCUGAGAAAAUAUAUAAAACAAGAGAAAAGAAAGAAAAUCAAGUACGAUCACUGAAAACCUGCUUAGUAGUAGCAACUAUUUACUGUAGCUGAUUUUUGUGCAAGGUCAACACUGAACCCUUUAAGUCCAUCUUAGUUCAAACCUCAUGACCAACCUGCCUUCCCCCCUCCCUCCCUCCACUGACACGUCAAACAAAACUAUCCUCCCUCCCUCCACCCUCCUACCCCUCCCAAAUCCUUCCUCCCCACUGCAAACAGACUGAUGGUUUCACAGCACAGAUUAGCAAAUCAUAAAACAUAUCCAUAAAUGCUCCAUCAAGGCUUAGCAAUGAAGCAACACCUAGGUUCCCAACUGAUUAUAAACAUGUUACAACAAAUCUUAGUAAGCUGCUCUGAAAGAUAAUGUGAGUGCAUUCUUGUUCAAUGGCUGAAAUUAAUGUCACAUUUAUAAAUAUCUAGAAAUGUAGAGGAUACGAUUUAAUUAAAUAAAAUGCAGUUUUUGAGGGUGUGAUUCAUGAAACUCAAGAUUGAGUCUGUUCCCUAUCUUACAUAAUAAUGGAUAAAAAGGUGCCAAUUAUAUAUCUGAAGAUAAAAGUCUACUUGUUCCCUGUU